AUUGAACGCUGGCGGCAGGCCUAACACAUGCAAGUCGGACGGUAGCACAGAGAGCUUGCUCUCGGGUGACGAGUGGCGGACGGGUGAGUAAUGUCUGGGGAUCUGCCCGAUAGAGGGGGAUAACCACUGGAAACGGUGGCUAUUACCGCAUAACGUCGCAAGACCAAAGAGGGGGACCUUCGGGCCUCUCACUAUCGGAUGUACCCAGAUGGGAUUAGCUAGUAGGCGGGGUAACGGCCCACCUAGGCGACGAUCCCUAGCUGGUCUGAGAGGAUGACCAGCCACACUGGAACUGAGACACGGUCCAGACUCCUACGGGAGGCAGCAGUGGGGAAUAUUGCACAAUGGGCGCAAGCCUGACGCAGCCAUGCCGCGUGUAUGAAGAAGGCCUUCGGGUUGUAAAGUACUUUCAGCGGGGAGGAAGGCGAUGUGGUUAAUAACCGCAUUGAUUGACGUUACCCGCAGAAGAAGCACCGGCUAACUCCGUGCCAGCCGCCGCCGUAA
rnacentral:rRNA from 1 species